UACGUAGGGGGCAAGCGUUGUCCGGAUUUAUUGGGCGUAAAGAGCGUGUAGGCGGCCAUUCAGGUCAGCUGUGAAAAUUCGAGGCUCAACCUCGAGACGUCGGUUGAAACCGUUUGGCUCGAGUCCGGAAGGGGAGAGUGGAAUUCCCGGUGUAGCGGUGAAAUGCGCAGAUAUCGGGAAGAACACCCGUGGCGAAGGCGGCUCUCUGGGACGGUACUGACGCUGAGACGCGAAAGCGUGGGGAGCGAACAGG
rnacentral:rRNA from 1 species